CCAGUGCAUAUCCAUUGAGUUAUUCCGCAUAUUACGCGCAUAAAAGUCGGUAGCAGAAGUUUCGAGCAUGCCGAUGUCCACAGUUCGACUGCUCCAACCUCGGCGAUUCUCUACCCAAGCUCGAAUGAGGAGCGUGGAGGGGAGGUCGAUCGCCUUCGCCUUUACGAUCGAGAUGGUCAUCUUGGAAUGACCCGUGACGUCACGGACUUCGCAAACAAUUUCAAUUAAAUCUCUCCCAAUCAAUAUUGCUCGGGGUCUUUUAAGUUAGCCACAAAGUUACUUCCCAACCAGC